rnacentral:lncRNA from 1 species
CCAAGCCACAUGCUCGUGUGUCAGGCCGUGCAGCUUUUGAAAAGUAACCUUUAAAACCUACAGGACACACGGUUGAGACACACACCCGUGUCUUAGGCCAUGUGGACAAUAAAAUGGUCAAAAUUAAUCCAUUUCUCUCACCCUUUGAAACAUGAACCUACAAGCCACUUACACAUAUAGGCUUUUAAAACAUACCCAAAUCAUGCAUAAAAUGACCAAAUCUUUAUACCAAAUGUCCAUACACCAAUAUGCCAAAAGGCACCUCAAUCACAAUUCAUCAAACCUAUCAAAACAUGUGCAUAUCUAUCCAUUCAUCAACUAAUCACUCCUAGCCUAUUUCCAUACCAAACUUACCAUAUUUGAUUACAUUUAUAUCAUUACAUAAUUACCUCAAAGCAUAAUCCAUCUUGGCCACAUUAUAAACAUACAAAAUAUGGCCAUUCCAAACAUGCAUCAAUUUAACCAUAUUAACAACCACCAACAAAGCAUCAAAAUACCAUAUGUACCACAAAUCCAAAGCAACAUUAUAUGCCAUAAACAUCAACUAAACAUUAGACAUAAGUCCACCUAUACAUGCCAUUAUAACCAUGAUCGAAGCAUCAAAAUCUAUCGAUAUAAUCGCUGGAUAGUGUGAUAGAUCUCCGACUAGCUUCCAACCUAAUCGAGCUUCCGAUAAUCUGAAAAGUAAAGAAAAGUAAAUUACGUAAGUAAUGAAUGCUUAGUAAGCUCGUAAAAAGUAAUGCUUAGUAAUCUCGUAAGAAGUAAAUUAACCGCUGACAUAUUAGAAUAAACAUUUAAGCAUAAUUUUUAUUAAUCUUUAAGCUAACUUUCAUUUUCUAUUCAAUACACCUCUCAUGGAUAAUUGAUGUAGCCUUGCAUAUACAUAUAUAUAUAUAUAUAUUUUUCCUUAUAAGCAUUUCAUAUAACCACUUUACUUAAAUGUUUCUUAUUACCAUAACACUUUCACAUUUAACUAAUAACUAUUCUGUAAUUCAUCAUUCGUUUCAAACUUUCCUAUAAACAUAUCAUUUUAGAUACACUUACUUUCACUAAACAAGAUUAAAGCUAAAUGAAUAAAUUAAUCAUACAUUUACGAAGAACUUAUAGGCUUAGUAUUGAAAAUGUUUCAUCGUACGCUUCAUGUACUAUAAUAAGAAUUCAAUCCGAACUCAUUCAUAUAAGUGUAUAAACAUGUAUCUUUAACCGAAUAAUCAUCAAUAUAACAAUACUCAAACAUGAUCAAGUAAUUCAAUGAACAUUUAACACUUAACAUUUACUAACAUCCUGACUAUACAUUAGCCUUUAACAUUAAGAUAAUUUUGUAAAUUCCAUUCGCAUUUAGCCCGAUAAACUAGUAACUUGACUCGGAUACCCGGGUAACUACAUCACACCAGAGGCAUCAUAUAUGCAUAACAGGGGCACCGUAGUGCGAACAGGGACAUCAAAGUGCAAACAGGGGCACCGAAGUGCAAAUCCUGUAGAAGCGCGCAUUCUAACCCUAUUAGCAUGCCAAUCAUAUCCUAGUGAUUAUUACGUGCAACUGGGCAUCUCAUGUAAUCCAUUACCUUUAUACAUAUUUAUCAAUCGAGGGCACUUCAUAAUUUCUGUACACAUAAUAUAAUAUCAAUACAUAUAUUCAUACAAUCAAUGUACCAUCACAAAGAUUAUCAUAAUCCAUUAAUCACUUUCAUAUUUCUCAAUAUACAUGCUGUAACAAUUCAUAAUCAUUCUGAAAUCACAUAUAUCAUAUUUCAUAAAUAUUUAAUAGUUUUCUAAUAAAUCAUUUCUCACCUUAUAUUCAGUUAUAAUAUUUCGAAUUCCAGUUCACAUUUUAAACAUCAUAUAUAAGUAUAUACAUUCAUAAAUCAACAAUAACAUUAUAUCUAUAGGUAUGUACAAUUUUAUACCUACGAGCUUACCUUGCUAAAUUGUAGAAAUGAUUAAGUAUAAGAGCUAUUUGGUAAUUUUUCAUUUUCCUCGAUUUUCACUCGAUCUUGAUCUAAAUUAAUAAUUUUAUUCAAUUUAUUAAUUUAGAUAGUAAAAAAAAAUUAUUUUAUGUAAUUUAGUCAUUUUGACAUUUUUUUACAAAAUUACCCCUAACAUUUUACUUUUAUUCAAUUUAGUCCUUGAACCUAAAACAUGCAAAUUAACCAUUUUUAUUGCAAACCCAUGCCAAUCAAAUAUUAAUAGCAUCCAUUUUAGCCUAUUUUGCAAUAAUUUCACAUCAAGUCCUUGGACUAUUAUUAUUUCAACAAUUUAGUCCCUAUUUGGCAAAUUCAUCAGAAAUUACUUAAUAAAAUACUUAUAAAUAAAAACUAAUACUUCAAAUUCAUCAAAUCUAAAAUCACAAAGAUUCAUCAAUGGAAACAUUCAAAAUCUUUAACAGUUUCAAAAACGAAGGUACGCGCUAGUUGGACCUAGUUGCAACAAUCUCAAAAACAUAAAAAUUAUUAGAAAUAAACUCAAAUUUAGCUUACAUGCAAAAGAGGACUUUGACUGAAUGCUUAAGCUAUCAUCCAUGGCUUCCUUCUUUCUCCAAUUUCAGCAAACACUAAGCAAAAGAUGAUAGCCUAAUUGUUUUGUUUUUAAUUUAAUUUAAUUUAUCAAGUUACCAUUUUAACCUUGGGUAAUAAUUAAAUAAAACACCAAAUUGAUUGUAGUAGAAAAAACAUAUGUUUUCUCCCUAUUUAUUGUUUAAAUUGUUCUCAUUUAGUUUCCCUUAGCAUACAUUUUAGCAUGUUCAGUUUAGUAAAUUGCAUUUUAUAACUCAGUAAAUCCUAGCCUAUUUUAUCUUUAAUUUUUGCUAUCUUUCUGCACUAAUGUCGCUACAUGAGUUAAUUCCAGAUUGCGUAUGAAAUUGUCAUCAUAGUUGACAGAUAUCCGGAAUGUCGCUGCAUGAGUUAAUUCUAGAUGGCAUUCAGAAUUGUCACUGUAGUUGACAACUGUCUGGUAAGAGCCAACCAUGAGUGAGCUGUCCAGUUCAGUGCAACUACCCUGUACGAACAAGGAUAGAAGAAUCCUAAGAGAAGGACACCUGUACUGUUGAGGAAAACAUAAAAGGAUAACGUGAGAAGAAUGAAGGGAGAGGAAUUUUUGGUGGACCACGAUUCUCUUACCCUAUUUUGAAGCUUGCGGCUAUGGGAGUUUGAGCUUCCCUUGGAUGAGCCAACAUGAAGACUGAUGCAGAUCCACUCUUGACGAGGAGAUCUAAGUGCAAAACAAUGGGAAAUGGAUAGACUUAAUCGAGUAGCUUAGGAAUAGUAUUCUUCAUUCGAUUAUUUCUCAUUUCUUGAAAACACUGGUGAUUACUUUAUGUUUUCUACUGUAUGGAAGUGCAAUGAAUGCUUUGUUAAAUAUUAUCUUAUUAAAUCUUAUUGUUGUUGUUUAAUCUUAGGGGUUUGAAUAUUCUAAAUACAGAAGUGUUAUUGUAGUCACUAACAUUUGAAGGUGCAGUGACAGUUUGAGCUAAUAAGCUUUUCAGUGAAAGUUGAGUAAGGACUAAAGGAGUUUAGUCCACUUGUUCUUAAUAGUGCCAUAUUGCCAUAAUCGAAAGGUGAGGUUAAUGUGCAUGAUUAAGUCUCAGGUUAAGCCAAAGAGUGGCAUUUCGUAAGAUAUACAUUAAUUUUACUGCGCCGACAAUCACCUAUCUUUUAUACCGUGUACUUAGUAUACUGCUGAAGAUUCAUGUUGUGGAUCCAAGAUUUUUUUAUCUUAUUGUUUUCAAGUUAUUACUUUAACAGCUAUACUAACAAUUUACCUCAUUUCUAUUUAGUUAUUGCACCGACAUUAAUAAUAAUAGACAACCAUCCCUGUGGGAUCGAUAUCUGACAGACUCAUAUCUGUCUAUUAUACUUGCAUCGACAGUGUAUGCUGGCACAUUAUUGCUGUGAUAUUUACAGCCGAUCAAGUUUUUGGCACCGUUACCGGGGAUGAUGUUUGUUUGAUGUUUAUUUUUGUUCCUGUGUGUCUUUGUACUUUGUUUUCCUUAUAUAAUAUUUAGUAUUCACUAACUUGUUUUCUCUUUGCUUCUAUUUUUCAAUUUCAUCUUAAGUGUUUUAUGACCAAAGCAAUUCAAAUUUUCUUGCCGACUUUGAUCCAUAAAUUGAAAGAACUAUUCAAAGAAGACUUCGAGAACAAAAAAAAAUAUGGAUUUACUAAGAGACAAUGCAAUCAUACCCCUGAUACAAUAGCCGAUAGAACAACAAAAUGUUCAUGACCCAUUGUUACCACAAAAUGCUCACAUCCACAAUAGAACCAUAUGAGAUUGUGUAGUACCUAUUCUAGAUGAUCUACAACUAGGAGUUGUUAGACCAGCAAUUCAAGCUGGGAACUUUGAACUUAAGCUAGUGAUGUUUUAAAUGCUGAACUCUAAUGGCCAAUAUGCUAGACUGCCACAUGAAGAUGCGAGAGAACAUCUUAAAUCCUUUUUAUUGAUUUGUGCUUCUUUUAGUCAACAAAUAAAGAUUUUUUUUUUCACAUUUUCACAUAUGUCAUGUAGUCUGCUACUAGAUUCAUACACAAUGUGGGUAUUACUGCAACCAUGGCCAUUUUCACAUACAUAACACUAACUUGUUACACAUAUGUUAAUACACACCAUGUCAAAACAUUGUUAGCAAAGACAACUUACCUUACACAACUCUAUAUCAUAGAAUUUCAAAUCCAAAGGAAACAAAAAGUAACUCACCAGAACUUUCAGGAUAGAAUCUACUCUAUUGGUUCUUUGCCUCGAUUGCUAGGACAUUCGCUAGCUUCUUAAGCUAAAUAAGAAACAGUCAUAAUUAUCAGACCAUUUAUCUACUAAGAAUUGAUCAUGCAUGCCCUAAUGCAAAGAUGUAAAUUCCCUCGACAUCAACCUAAGGUUUUCCAAAAACUACUAGUCAGCUGGCACUUAUCAAUGGCGUCUCGAGAAGUUCCUAGAAACCUUUGUUGUUUCCUCUAGAGAAGAUAACUUAAAAAGAAAUUUCUUAAGGACGUAAGAGAGACCAUAGAGAGAAAAGAAAAAGUGAAACAUGUUGGUUAUAGGCACCCUUUUAUAGCACAGACAAUGAAAAUAAGCUGAGUGGAAAGGUCGGAGACCACACUAUCGCCCUUGAAUUCAAAGACUAAGCUUUGCCUACUAGGAUUUGAAAUCUAUUAUUUUACCAAACACAACUACUACCACUAAUUUUUUACUAAACACAACUACUACCACUACUCUGAUGUACUAUUAGUCCAAACAGUCAUAUCUAUGUCUCUAUCUUCUCGGAGUCAUCCGCUUCGAUACCCAAAACAAAACAUCUUUCAAAUUGAACUUGAUAGAUAGCAUAUUAGUCUUUCAAUCAAUUUACUCAUUUCUGAUUAGACUAUGGAAAUGUUUAGGUUCGUCUACUAAUAUAAGUUAUCUUUUCGUAUUAUGAUCCACUACGUAAUACCACUUAGUAUUAGUUUAAAUGUUAGAAAACCAGUGAGUAAUGUUUGUUUUCUAUUUUGCGUACAAAAAUCAUAUGUGGACAAUUAUACAAAGUAUAUUAAUAUAAUUCAUGAUUUUGUUCUAUUAACCAAAUUGUUCAAAAAAAUUACAAGUGUAAAUAGACGAAUAUACUAUACUUAGGACACCAGAUCCAACAACUAGCCAUUCAUGCCAAAGUCACAAAUGUUCUAAUUUUGUACAAACAUAUAUAAAUGAAAUGAAAUAAAAAAUCAAACAUAACAUAACAUAAAAUAUUCAGUUCCAUAUGAACUUACAUGAUCAAAACGUGAAAAGAGUGGACACUUUAUAGACUAAUCCGAAUUUUUUGCUUUUCCCCUAUAAGCUCCAGUUUGGCCCAAAUGUUGAUCUAUACAAUUAUUUAAUAUCACCAAUUAAUGACACCAUUCUCAUACAUUGUUAUAAUAUGCAUGAACCUAUAUGAACUCAUUUCUUUAUAUCCUAAAAUUUGACAUUUUAUUUAAUUUAGUCCCUAAACUCGGGAUAGUCAUAACUUUCAAUUCCUAGCCCCGAUUAAAAUUUGAUUUCAUAUAUUCUCAUUAGGGACCUUAUAUUUAUAUUUCUAGCAUAAUUUCAUGAUAAGUUCUACACUUAUUCAAUAUGGUCCCUAAUGUAACAAGGUUAACUAACAAGCUAAAUAACUUUACAAUCUAGUCUUUUUCAUAAUUUAAGCUAAAAAUAUAUAAAUUUUAAGCCUAAUUAUUCAAGAAAUCAACAAAAGAAACUUUAUAAAACUUUAACAAAUUCACAAAAUUGGUACAUGGGCUAGCUAAAUCAAGCUCCCAUGACCUCAAAUCUAUAAAAAUGACAAGAAAUGACUUGAAUUACCUAUCUAAUUUGUAGCCGAAUGUUUUUCAAAGGUUGAAGGGUCUUUUCUUUGGCUUUAACGAUGGUGGACAGUUGAAGGAUGAAGAAAG